rnacentral:rRNA from 1 species
CAAGUCGAGCGGUAACAUGAUAAGUAGCAAUACUUGUUGAUGACGAGCGGCGGACGGGUGAGGAACACGUAGGAACUUGCCCUUAAGAGGGGGACAACCAAGGGAAACUUUGGCUAAUACCGCAUAAACUCGGAAGAGUAAAGCUGCCCGCGAGGGUAGCGCUUAAGGAGAGGCCUGCGUCCGAUUAGUUAGUUGGUGGGGUAAUGGCCUACCAAGGCGAUGAUCGGUAACUGGUCUGAGAGGACGACCAGUCACACUGGGACUGAGACACGGCCCAGACUCCUACGGGAGGCAGCAGUGGGGAAUAUUGGACAAUGGGGGCAACCCUGAUCCAGCGAUGCCGCGUGAGUGAAGAAGGCCUUCGGGUCGUAAAGCUCUUUAGGUUGGGAAGAAGUGUGGUGGAGGAAAUGCUGCCACAUUGACGGUACCGACAGAAUAAGCACCGGCAAACUCUGUGCCAGCAGCCGCGGUAAUACAGAGGGUGCGAGCGUUAAUCGGAGUUACUGGGUGUAAAGGGCGCGUAGGCGGUGUUAUGUGUGUGAUGUGAAAGCCCCGGGCUUAACCUGGGAAGUGCAUCGCAAACUAUAGUACUAGAGUAUAUGAGAGGGUGGCGGAAUUUCCGGUGUAGCGGUGAAAUGCGUAGAGAUCGGAAGGAACGUCGAUGGCGAAGGCAGCCACCUGGCAUAAUACUGACGCUGAGGCGCGAAAGCGUGGGGAGCGAACAGGAUUAGAUACCCUGGUAGUCCACGCUGUAAACGAUGAGGACUAGAUGUUGUUAGGGGAACCUAGCAGUAUCGAACCUAACGCGAUAAGUCUUCCACCUGGGAAGUACGGCCGCAAGGUUGAAACUCAAAUGAAUUGACGGGGGCCCGCACAAGCGGUGGAGCAUGUGGUUUAAUUC